GAUUCUGGUUCUAUGAAAAUAUGAAAUGAAAAAAUUAUUUUGAAUUUCGUUUUCAUAACAACUUUUCAUAAUUCGUUUUCAUAAAAACAUAUUUUCCGAUUCUGAUUCAUUUUGUGAAAACAAUGUUUCAAUUCCGUGUCGCAAUGAAACUUUUGUAACUAUGUUAUUGAAAUAAUUGUAAAGUUGACGUUCAUAUGUUAACAGGAAAAAAAUAAUAUUGUCGUAAAAUCAAACAAUGUACGAUAAAAAAUGUCAAGUUCCAUUAUAUUAUAUUAUAUAUCGCAAAGACAUAGAAUAGAACAAAGGAACUCGCUUCGAAUUCUUAGACGCAGUCUUCGGGAUCACCACAAUCCAUUUGAAAUAGCCACAGAGGAGAGCUUUUUUGAGUUGUAUAGGAUGCCGAAGCAUUUGUGUUUGGAACUCAUCGAAGAAUUGAAGCCAUUUUUGCCGAAAUCAAGAAGAGUCCAUGCAAUUCCAUGUCAUCUAAUAGUACUAAGUUCAUUACGUUUUUUUGCUACUGGUAGCUUUCAACGAAGUGUAGGACAAGAUAAUUUAUCCGCUUUAUCUCAAACAUCCGUAAGCAGAUGUGUAACUAUGGUUGCUAAAGCUUUGAACAAUAUUUCACACAAUUAUAUAAUAUUUCCCAAACAAGAAGAUUUCCCAGGACUUAAAUAAAGUUUAUGGAGAAAUAUCAAUUUCCAGGGAUUAUAGGAGUAAUUGACGGCACUCAUAUUAAAAUAUCUGCUCCAAGGCGUGAAAUUGAGCAUAUAUAUUACUGUCGAAAAGGAGGACAUUCAAAGAAUGUGAUGAUUAUAUGCGAUUCAAAUUAUAUUAUUUUGGCAGCUAACGCACGAUUUGGUGGUACAGCACAUGAUUCUUAUGUUUGGAGAAGUUCCCAAGCUUGCAGAAGACUGGAAGAUUUAUAUACUGGAGGAGAACGUAAUUAUUGGCUUUUAGGAGAUAGUGGUUACCCAUUGCAGCCGUGGUUGAUGACUCCUAUACUUUCAACGUGCAAUA